rnacentral:rRNA from 1 species
UGGGGAAUUUUGGACAAUGGGCGAAAGCCUGAUCCAGCAAUGCCGCGUGUGUGAAGAAGGCCUUCGGGUUGUAAAGCACUUUUGUCCGGAAAGAAAUCCUUGGCUCUAAUACAGUCGGGGGAUGACGGUACCGGAAGAAUAAGCACCGGCUAACUACGUGCCAGCAGCCGCGGUAAUACGUAGGGUGCAAGCGUUAAUCGGAAUUACUGGGCGUAAAGCGUGCGCAGGCGGUUUGCUAAGACCGAUGUGAAAUCCCCGGGCUCAACCUGGGAACUGCAUUGGUGACUGGCAGGCCAGAGUAUGGCAGAGGGGGGUAGAAUUCCACGUGUAGCAGUGAAAUGCGUAGAGAUGUGGAGGAAUACCGAUGGCGAAGGCAGCCCCCUGGGCCAAUACUGACGCUCAUGCACGAAAAGCGUGGGGAGCAAACAGGAUUAGAUACCCCUGGUAGUCCACGCCCUAAAACGAUGUCAACUAGUUGUUGGGGAUUCAUUUCCUUAGUAACGUAGCUAACGCGUGAAGUUGACCGCCUGGGGAGUACGGUCGCAAGAUUAAAACUCAAAGGAAUUGACGGGGUCAUAGCUGUUUCCU